UAUNGCACAAUGGGCGAAAGCCUGAUGCAGCNACGCCGCGUGACCGAUGAAGGCCUUCGGGUCGUAAAGCUCUGUCCUCAAGGCAGAUAAUGACUGUACUUGAGGAGGAAGCCCCGGCUAACUACGUGCCAGCAGCCGCGGUAAUACGUAGGGGGCUAUCGUUAUCCGGAAUUACUGGGCGUAAAGGGUGCGUAGGUGGUUUCUUAAGUCAGAGGUGAAAGGCUACGGCUCAACCGUAGUAAGCCUUUGAAACUGGGGAACUUGAGUGCAGGAGAGGAGAGUGGAAUUCCUAGUGUAGCGGUGAAAUGCGUAGAUAUUAGGAGGAACACCAGUUGCGAAGGCGGCUCUCUGGACUGUAACUGACACUGAGGCACGAAAGCGUGGGGAGCAAACA
rnacentral:rRNA from 1 species